GACGAACGCUGGCGGCGUGCCUAAUACAUGCAAGUAGAACGCUGAAGGAGGAGCUUGCUUCUCCGGAUGAGUUGCGAACGGGUGAGUAACGCGUAGGUAACCUGCCUGGUAGCGGGGGAUAACUAUUGGAAACGAUAGCUAAUACCGCAUAACAGUAGAUAUUGCAUGUUAUCUGCUUGAAAGGUGCAAUUUCAUCACUACCAGUUGGACCUGCGUUGUAUUAGCUAGUUGGUGAGGUAACGGCUCACCAAGGCGACGAUACAUAGCCGACCUGGGAGGGGGAUCGGCCACACUGGGACUGAGACACGGCCCAGACUCCUACGGGAGGCAGCAGUAGGGAAUCUUCGGCAAUGGACGGAAGUCUGACCGAGCAACGCCGCGUGAGUGAAGAAGGGUUUCGGAUCGUAAAGCUCUGUUGUAAGAGAAGAACGAGUGUGAGAGUGGAAAGUGCACACUGUGACGGUAUCUUACCAGAAAGGGACGGCUAACUACGUG
rnacentral:rRNA from 1 species